UUAAAUUGAUUUGAGGAUACAUACCAUCAAUUAUUUGCCAUGCUAUCAUAGAUGUAAUACAUUGUGCCACACAUUUGCAGUACAUAUAUAUUACAUAUUGCGAACAAAAAUACAGUGCUCUAUCUUGAAUCGAGAAAUCGAUGAAUUAACGAACAAGCUAGUGGCGGAUGCCGAUGGAGGUCGACGGUUUUGGGACGCAACAACAAGAGGAGACCCCACCAACAACCUUGCAUAUCCCAACAGCAUUCAACCCCAAGACGGCGCACGUCGCCCCACAUGACUGUUCGUUGCAGUUGUCAGAGUUUGAGCACUGCUCUCCUCCUAAGAGGGCACGACUGCCUUGGCUUGCUAGAACGGCCGAGGCAAGGAGUGCCAUCAGCAGCGGAACAAUAACAAUGGCGAGGGUCUUCUUGGAACACGCCAUGAAGCUCUAGUAUAGGCUUCCGUAAGUAGAGGCUAGUUGGUCCCUGUUGAUGCUCAGAUGCUUUGUGAUUGUUCGCUUGUAGGGAAUUGAGUGCCGCUAUGCUUGUCGUCCUUUUCUUAUAUAGGCUUGAGCCAUAACCAAAUUAAUUUGAGCAAUCAAUUUCUAACAUUUUUUUCCAUAAAAAAUAUCAUACCUUGAUAUUUUUACUCAUAGCACCAAUAUCCUCUAAUAUAUUUUGCCCACUCAAUAUUUAUAAUAUUGGUAGCUAUUUAAAUAAUAUAUUCUCAAAUUCACAUUUUUCUUGCUAAGUAAGCAUAAGCUGCCUAAUAAUAUCCUAUCUAUUUUGAUCCAUGCCAAUCAAAUUUGUAAUGAUAUAGAGUCACUCGAAAACAAUAUACCAUGCAUAGGCACUUAUUUGCUGCUAAUACAUCAUAUCAAAUUUUAUUAUUGAUAAUAUUAUAUUGAUCGUAAUUAACAGCAUUUUAACACGAUUUUAGGGUCUGGUUGGAUGCAACCAGAUAGUAGUUAUUAGUUGCUAAAAAUUAGUUGUGGUGGAUCCAAAUUGACAAGGGUAUUUGGUUAGCUAACUUUUAGAUGGACACCAAGCUAAGAACUAUCCUGUUACGUAAGCACACCACACUAGCUAAUAGCAUCUAAUUAAUGGUCAGUUGAGUAAAAGUCCGUCCCCCCAGAUCUUGGAGGUGGUUGAGGAGUUUUUACCUCAGAUGAAUUUGUAGAAGGAAAGAUUAAUUUUGAUGUGUUUGAUCUUCUCGACAGGUUCAACUGAUCCACUCUAAAGCACACUAGAGCAUGCUAUAGAUUAGUCGCAACUUGAGCCUAUGCCUGCUUCUCCAGCAACAUGGAAAUCUUGUCAAGAAGAUCAUCGACCAAAGGCUUCAUGCACAUAGGAUUGAUUGGAUCAGUCGAACCAUAUUGCUUAUCGUCGGCCAUAGUAGUCCAUACGUUUGCAUUCUUCCCUAGCAAAGUUGAUGAAAGGUGUGUCGAUGUGAAUUCCGGUCACACUAGCAUGAGCUUGAUCAUCCGGGCUGCACUUGUCCAAGACACGCAAUGGAAAUGGAUCUAAAUUGUGAUGCCAUCUAGCUUUUUGGAGAGGCCGAUUCAAUGCUAGUUCUUUGCCAAAAAGACCCACGAAUCCUGCCUAGGGUGACCAUCUACAAAUUGAACAACGGGGGUGCCAUAAAAUCGUCAUGGCCACCUAGGAUGUCGUCAGAUCUCAUAGGGACAUGCCCUAGACAUCAAGGAGUCUGGGAGAGGUUUAGGUAAAAAAAGGUAAAAAGUUUAAUAGAUUACUUUUGUCGAUUGGAUAGAUGUCUCAAUCGCCCGUGAUACCCUUAGUAGGAAACAUAUUCUACACACACUUUUCCCAUUUGCUAGUAGAUUAACGAAGGAUUUUCCAACAAGGAAACCUUGAGUUGUCACUGGGAUAUGCUGCAAAGUUGUAUGUCCUAGAGGUUAUGAUUAACUGUGAGGUUUUGGUCUCAUCAUCCCUAUUACAAAAUAGAUCAACAUCUACAUCUAUAUGUGCCAACUAUCGCAUUGUCACUCGAUCUAGAGCCCUCUGUAGGAGCUGCAUCUCCUUAUAUCACAUUUCUAGCACCCUAACUAUCAUGGACGUGAUACUUGUGGCCUCUCUAGCUGUACUAGCGGUGCCAAAAAUAGCAAUAUGUGCACACUGGUUAGGAGGAUUGGAAAAUGUUGGGCCACCAAGCCCAUACACCGUACAUCACACUCUAAUAGGAAGCACAACAUAUCCAAAUGCUUGUCACCAAUUUUUGGGAAUUGAGUUGAAAAGGUUAAAACAAGGCAGGAUGAGAAUUCAUCAAGCAUGUCAUCAAAAUGUGAAGUUUUGCGUGACCAAGUCUUCUGUAUUAAAUUGAUUUGAGGAUACAUACCAUCAAUUAUUUGCCAUGCUAGCAUAGAUGUAAUACAUUGUGCCACACAUUUGCAGUACAUAUAUAUUACAUAUUGCGAACAAAAAUACAGUUCUCUAUCUUGAAUCGAGAAAUCGAUGAAUUAACAAACAAGCUAGUGGCGGAUGCUGAUGGAGGUCGACGGUUUUGGGACGCAACAACAAGAGGAGACCCCACCAACAACCUUGCAUAUCCCAACAGCAUUCAACCCCAAGACGGCGCACGUCGCCCCACAUGACUGUUCGUUGCAGUUGUCAGAGUUUGAGCACUGCUCUCCUCCUAAGAGGGCACGACUGCCUUGGCUUGCUAGAACGGCCGAGGCAAGGAGUGCCAUCAGCAGCGGACAAUAACAAUGGCGAGGGUCUUCUUGGAACACGCCAUGAAGCUCUAGUAUAGGCUUCCGUAAGUAGAGGCUAGUUGGUCCCUUGUUGAUGCUCAGAUGCUUUGUGAUUGUUCGCUUGUAGGGAAUUGAGUGCCGCUAUGCUUGUCGUCCUUUUCUUAUAUAGGCUUGAGCCAUAACCAAAUUAAUUUGAGCAAUCAAUUUCUAACAUUUUUUCCAUAAAAAAU
rnacentral:lncRNA from 1 species